UAAUAAGUGUUUUAUGGCACUUUUUAAAUCCAUAUCCACCUUGUGUGCAAUGUCAGUCGAGUUUCUUUCCGUCAAUGAAAGAAGGAUCGACCAAACAUCAACCUUUAUCUAAUUGAACUCUUUGUCUGAAAAAUAUUAUGAAUAAACUAAUUCAAAAUA
rnacentral:misc_RNA from 1 species